GACGAACGCUGGCGGCGUGCUUAACACAUGCAAGUCGAACGGAAAGGCCCUGCUUUUGUGGGGUGCUCGAGUGGCGAACGGGUGAGUAACACGUGAGUAACCUGCCCUUGACUUUGGGAUAACUUCAGGAAACUGGGGCUAAUACCGGAUAGGAGCUCCUGCUGCAUGGUGGGGGUUGGAAAGUUUCGGCGGUUGGGGAUGGACUCGCGGCUUAUCAGCUUGUUGGUGGGGUAGUGGCUUACCAAGGCUUUGACGGGUAGCCGGCCUGAGAGGGUGACCGGCCACAUUGGGCCUGCGAUACGGCCCAGACUCCUACGGGAGGCAGCAGUGGGGAAUAUUGCGCAAUGGGCGGAAGCCUGAUGCAGAAACGCCGCGUGCGGGAUGACGGCCUUCGGGUUGUAAACCGCUUUCGCCUGUGACGAAGCGUGAGUGACGGUAAUGGGUAAAGAAGCACCGGCUAACUACGUG
rnacentral:rRNA from 1 species